ensembl:lncRNA
UUAAAGUUGAAAUGUACCACGUUUGCUGUAAUCUCUAUGAAAUGCCUUGUUAGGAUGGGUCAGUGAAACAAAUGUAUUUUUGUAUUAUUGUGAUAUAACACAUCCUAUUUUUUUGUGUUUUUCUGUCUGAGCAGACUCAACCUUUUCUUUUCAGCGUCCUCACCACACUGUUUAUGAGCUGAAAGAAACCAUUUCUGAUUCAUUCUGAAGUACAGUUUCACUCACUCAGAGGGUAUAGAAGGGUCUUGAAACAACAACUAUAAUCUUGAAAUUUUGCCUUUAUUCUCGAAAUGAUUAAUAAUAUGUUUCCCUAAUACUCCUUGGAAGUAUAUUCAGUCUGUAUGUCUGCAUGUAAAACGCAGACAUACAGACUGAACUGAUGAGGAAGUGAAAAAGUGCUGAAAAUAAACCUUUGUCAUCUUGUUAAAGUUGUGAAGUUCUCUCAGUGACUUUGUGUCUGUCGUUCAGGAUGAAUGUCUUGCUGUCCAUCUGUCUCUGGCUGUCUCUGAUGAUGUUAGUCUGCUGUGGAAUCAUUGAAAAGGAGACUCACACCAUGAAGACAUGUAUGAAUUCAAAGCGAAUAACUACACCUUUUAUUAUAACUUCUCUUAUGAUUAUUACUACGAUGUCUAUGAGCCUGAGCUCAUGAACAAGGCCUCAGGGAUUGGUCAGCUGAUACCGAUGCUCCUGCUGGGAUUGGCUGUCCAUCAAAUCUGGAACUGAUUGUGGGUGGAGCCAAAGACAGAGGCUUUAUCUGCGAUGAAAGUUGUAAUAAAAAAGACAAAAUAAAAGACUUUAUUUCUGAAACUAUUCGAGUAAUUGUUUGUUUAUUUUGGACAGCUCUGACAUGCUUUGUUUUAUUAUCAGCACUUACAUCUUUCUUUGAGUUCAGUGGCUUCAUCUUAAAAAGCCUGUUGGGUCCGACUCACAAAGCUGAGGCUCGUUAAAGGCUG